rnacentral:rRNA from 1 species
GAUGAACGCUGGCGGCGUGCCUAAUACAUGCAAGUCGAGCGGACGGACGAGAAUCUUGCUUCUCUGAUGUUAGCGGCGGACGGGUGAGUAACACGUGGAUAACCGACCUAUAAGACUGGGAUAACUUCGGGAGACCGGAUAUAAUACCGGAUAAUAUUUUGAACCGCAUGGUUCAAAAGUGAAAGACGGUCUUGCUGUCACUUAUAGAUGGAUCCGGGCUGCAUUAGCUAGUUGGUAAGGUAACGGCUUACCAAGGCAACGAUGCAUAGCCGACCUGAGAGGGUGAUCGGCCACACUGGAACUGAGACACGGUCCAGACUCCUACGGGAGGCAGCAGUAGGGAAUCUUCCGCAAUGGGCGAAAGCCUGACGGAGCCACGCCGCGUGAGUGAUGAAGGUCUUCGGAUCGUAAAACUCUGUUAUUAGGGAAGAACAUAUGUGUAAGUAACUGUGCACAUCUUGACGGUACCAACACAGAAAGCCACGGCUAACUACGUG